rnacentral:misc_RNA from 1 species
CCCCCCCCCCCCCUCGUAGAGCUAUGUCAUGCUAUGUGUGCAUGGUGAGCGAACACGUAAACAAACUCGCUUUCCUGCUGCUGUCACUUACGAGCACUUUCAAAACUUCUGCUGAUGUUUGUUGUGCCCAUGAAGAUCUAGCCUAACUCUGCAUCGUUGACAACAAAUAGCCGCAAGUGCUGAUUGCUGCUGGUUGGCUCAGUCCAGAAUUUGGCCUCACAAAUGCGACGAGCCUAGCUGAAAGUAUCACUGCCAAAAUGACAUGCCACCCCCCCUCCAAGGUGAUCGGUCAGAA